rnacentral:rRNA from 1 species
AUGGUUUGCCGUCUUCGUCGCUCUCUAUAUGGCCUUAAGCAAGCCCCCCGUGCUUGGUUUGAGCGUUUUGCCUCUGUGGUCACUGCAGCUGGUUUUUCGCCCAACGCUCAUGAUCCAGCGCUGUUUGUCCACCUUUCUGCUCGUGGUCGCACUCUUCUUCUUCUAUAUGUUGAUGACAUGAUCAUCACCGGCGAUGAUUCUGAGUACAUUGCCUUUGUUAAGGCCCGUCUCAAUGAACAGUUUCUUAUGUCUGAUCUUGGUCCUCUAUGUUACUUUCUUGGGAUUGUGGUUUCCUCCACCUCUGAUGGCUUUUCUAUUUCCCAAGAAAAGUAUAUUCAGGAUAUUCUUGCUCGUGCGGCUCUUAGUGAUGAGCGCACUCCUAUGGAGCUCAAUGUUAACCUUCGCGCUUCUGAUGGCGAGCUCCUGUCUGAUCCGACGCGUUACCGUCAUCUUGUUGGAAGUCUUGUCUAUCUUGCCGUCACUCGUCCGGAUAUCUCAUAUCCUGUCCAUAUUUUGAGCCAGUUUGUUUCCGCUCCCACUUCAGUUCACUAUAGUCACCUUCUUCAUGUUCUACGAUAUCUUCGUGGCACGAUCUCUCAUCGUCUCUUUUUCCCCCGUUCUAGCUCAUUACAGCUUCAGGCCUAUUCAGAUGCUACGUGGGCUAGUGAUCCUUCGGAUCGCCGUUCACUUUCUGCUUACUGUGCUUUUCUUGGUGGUUCUCUCAUUUCCUGGAAGACGAAGAAACAGACUGCAGUUUCCCGUUCGAGUGCUGAGGCCGAGUUGAGAGCUAUGGCUCUUCUGACGGCAGAGGUGACUUGGUUACGAUGGCUACUGGAGGAUUUUGGUGUUUCUGUUACUACACCUACCACUCUCUUGUUCGACAGUACAGGUGCUAUCGACAUUGCACGGGACCCCAUGAAGCAUGAGCUUACCAAGCAUAUUGGUGUUGAUGCUUCCUACGUGCGCGCUGCUAUGCAGGAUCAUGUUAUUGCUCUUCAGUAUGUACCUUCCGAGUUACAGCUAGCUGACUUCUUCACGAAGGCACGGACUAGAGCACACCAUAGAUUUCACCUCUCCAAACUCAGUGUUGUGGAUCCACCAUGA